rnacentral:rRNA from 1 species
UACGUAGGGGGCAAGCGUUGCCCGGAUUUAUUGGGCGUAAAGAGCGUGUAGGCGGCUUGGUAGGUCUUGCGUCAAAACCUGAGGCUCAACCUCAGUUCGCGUGGGAAACCAUCUAGCUAGAGUCCGGAAGAGGAGAACGGAAUUCCCAGUGUAGCGGUGAAAUGCGCAGAUAUUGGGAAGAACACGAGUGGCGAAGGCGGUUCUCUGGGACGGUACUGACGCUGAGACGCGAAAGCGUGGGGAGCGAACAGG